rnacentral:rRNA from 1 species
GACGAACGCUGGCGGCGUGCUUAACACAUGCAAGUCGAACGGAAAGGCCCUGCUUGCAGGGUACUCGAGUGGCGAACGGGUGAGUAACACGUGGGUGAUCUGCCCUGCACUUCGGGAUAAGCCUGGGAAACUGGGUCUAAUACCGGAUAGGAGCCAUUUUUAGCGUGAUGGUUGGAAAGUUUUUUGGGUGUAGGAUGAGCUCGCGGCCUAUCAGCUUGUUGGUGGGGUAAUGGCCUACCAAGGCGGCGACGGGUAGCCGGCCUGAGAGGGUGGACGGCCACAUUGGGACUGAGGUACGGCCCAGACUCCUACGGGAGGCAGAAGUGGGGAAGAUUGAACCAUGGGCGCCAGCCUGAUGCAGCGACGCCGCGUGGGGGAUGACGGCCUUCGGGUUGUAAACUCCUUUCGCUAGGGACGAAGCUUUUUGUGACGGUACCUAGAUAAGAAGCACCGGCUAACUACGUG